rnacentral:rRNA from 1 species
AAUGAACGUUGGCGGCGUGGAUUAGGCAUGCAAGUCGAGGGAGAACCCGCAAGGGGGACACCGGCGAACGGGGUAGGAUCACCUCGGUGACGUACCCUCCGGACGGGGAUAGCGACGGGAAACUGUCGGUAAUACCCGAUGAUCUGGCGAGCUUUUGAGGCUUGUCAGCAAAGGUGAGAUUCCACCGGAGGAGCGGCUGAGGCGCUAUUAGCUAGUUGGGGAGGUAACGGCUCACCAAGGCGACGAUGGCUAGGGGGGUGUGAGAGCAUGGCCCCCACCACUGGCACUGAGACACUGGCCAGACACCUACGGGUGGCUGCAGUCGAGAAUCUUCGGCAAUGGGCGCAAGCCUGACCGAGCGACGCCGCGUGCGGGAUGAAGGUCUUCGGAUUGUAAACCGCUGUCGGAGGGGAUGAAGUGUACGGGGGCUACCCCCUGUAUUUGACAGAGCCUCGGAGGAAGCACGGGCUAAGUUCGUGCCAGCAGCCGCGGU